AAGGAUCAUUAACGUGUUGGAGUGGUCUCCGGGCCGCGACCUCCAUAAACCCACCUCUGCGUACCUUCUCCUGUUGCUUCCGCGAGCCACCGAGGCCAACGCCUCGGACGCCGGCUGCGAUGCCUCCUCUGGCAGUCGCCUCCGGUGGAGCGCUCGCGGGAGGUCCACCAAACGAAACUCGAAUGUAAUAUAUACCUUCUGUCUGACUGUACAAUAAUAUUAAAUGUUAAAACUUUCAACAACGGAUCUCUUGGUUCUC
rnacentral:misc_RNA from 1 species